CCGGAGAUGAUGACAGCCUUGCCCUGAGCCCUGAUGGUCUCUUGUGUUCGUACUGCCUGAUCCGU
ensembl:snoRNA